CUAGCUCUCGUUGUGUUCACUACUCAAUUUACAAGGAGCGGUAUUCAAAAGUACAAAUUGAAAAUUGUAAAUCAUGGCGAAUUUUCGUACUGUUCGUGGCAACAAAGCUACUGAUUUGGAUGGACGUGACAAUCUUUAUGUACAUUGUGUGUCGAAAGAGUGACUGGAGCCGCUGAAGGGAUGUCGAACUUCUAGUUUUAUGGAUAACGACAACAUUUGGCGUAAAAGUUGACUUAUUAUAUGUUCGCCG